UCCAGCUCUCCCCGGGCCGCGGGGCCACCUGGGUGGCGGGAGGCAGCGAAAGCGAAAGUCCGGGAGGGCGGGUUUCGCUUUCAGUUUUGUGGGUUCUCCGGAUCCCCGAAGGCCAGAAGGCCGUUUCUUUCGCCCCUCCCCGUGGUCGCUGGUGGGGGGGGGGGCUUGCGGGGGUGUGCACCGGAUCUAGUAUAGUGGGGCCCUAGAGUCCCACUGGGUGGGGCUGUUAGCCCAAGCUCUGUUUGUCCCUGGAAGGGGCCCCCUGAUGAGCACCGACCCAGAGGCGCUGCUCUGAACACCUCUGCACCUGUUCUCUGAUCUUCCAGCCUGCCGGAAAAGUCGGUCUCUUAGAAUGGUUUAGUGUUUCUAACGUCUAACUCCCACCAGAAUUGGGAGGCAGAGGUUGGUUAAAAAUGCACUCUUAGUCUCCACCCCAGGCCUGAAGAAUCGAAUUUUCUGGGCAGGAAGCGCGGGAGCCCAUUUUAAGGGUUUCCUCUAUGGGAUUCUGAUCUUGGUGGAGCAUGGGCCACACCUGGAGAACAUUUCCAUACAUCUUGGAAGUCCCCAUUUACUGCCCUCACCACAAUGCUGGGCCUGGCUAAAGUCUCUGCUGUAGUGUUGCUGCAGUAUGAGAUGAGGCUACUCACUUAUUUGUUAAAAAGACUGAGACUCAAGAUGUUAUAGCCCUAUAAUAAGGUCACAGAGCUAGUGGGGUGGGGAGUCAGGAUCUGAGCCUGUGUCUUUCUGCCCCCAAACCCAAACGGCUAAACAGUGGUCCACACUCUCUCCCCACAGCUACACUUGAAGUUUCUAGAUUCCUGGUGGGGGCUGUGGUCCCCCUUGAAAGUCUAUGCAAUUUUUUUCAUGCCUGAGAGUUUUUCCUAUGGUUUGUAUCUUUCAUUAAAUUGUCAAAUUGGUUUCUGUUAGGAAAGAGGUCAACUAGCUCAGAAUGCUUCACCCCUUGCUGUGUACAUGAGAGAACUAAGAUUAAAAGGGAGGAAUCCACUCUAGUCUGUAGUGGACAGAGCUGGAUGCUCAGCCAGUGUUGACCAGAAGCUGGUAGUGCUGUCCUUCAUGUGUGCCCUUCAGGGGGGCUUCUUCAUGUUCCUGUGGAAUAAGGAGACAAAUGGGGAAGAGUAACUUGUCUCUGUCUGGUUUUGAUCUCAUAGAAACUGUAACUGCAAAUAAAUAAUUUGGAAGCCUGGAAGACCACGGUGGGAUUGGCUGAUAGGUGGAGACUAAACAAUGGACCAAUCAUGCAGACACAGUGACUUCCUAAGUCACCAUCCAUCCUACUUGCUUAAAACAGUUGUAAGACUGCCUAUUAAGUCUAAAUACCGUGAGCUCCCAGCACCAUUUGGGGGAGCGUAGUUCUGCUUUUUACUAACUGGGUGUCUCCAAGUGACAAUUGCUAAGACUCUAAUUUUACCUAAGUGUGUUGACCUUUGUCCCCAUAUUUGAGUCACUAGCUCUGUUACUUACAGAGCCACAGUCAAGAUUCAAACUCAAGCCUGGAGGACUCCAGUGGGGCAGGAAGCAUUUCAUGCAACUAUGUACCAAAGUAAUAAUCACAUUGCAGUGGAGGACUUGCUUAUGUCCAACAGCCUCUUCAUUUCCUAGACGGCAGAGCAAGGUACUAGAAGGGAAGCCAGAGUCCAUAGCCAGACUGCCUGACUUCAGUCCCAGACCCACCACUAGCCAGCUGGUGACCUGGGCACCAACCUCGCUUUCUUCGUGUUAAAUAGCAACGCCUACUUCAUAGGGUUGCUUGGGGAUUAAAUGAGACGUGGGUAAAGCAUUGAGCGUGCUGCCUGGCCCAUUGCAAGUGUUCAAUAAAUGUACAAAUCAAUUUUUAUUGUUGAGUCAGAGUGGGUAAGUGUAACAAGAGAAGGGGGAGCAUGAUCAAGGAUCUGGAACAUCAGAUCAAGGUGGCUUGUUUUGUUCUCCAGAUGAUGGGGCAGUGAGGUUUUCAAGGUGGGGAGGCACCUUGAAAUAGAAAGGUAUUUUAAACCAGGUGGAUCGUGGCACCACUAGCCAGUCAGGAGGACCACAGGCUCCCUACAUGCUGGUGAAUCUGGCUGCCCUGCCCUACCACCUUGCUCUGCCAUACAGUCCUACCCCAGGACCUUUUCACUUACUGUUCCCUCUGCCUAACACGAUUUCUUUGUUUCUCUGCUUCUCUGAUGUCUUUCACACCAGAAUGUCAGCACCAAGAGGGCAGCGGUUUCGCUCACUGAUGUAUCCCCAAUGCCCAGCACAAUGCCUGCCCUGGCACACUGGUGAAUGAAUGUUGCAGGCGAAGGUUACUUUGCCUAAUCCCAACCCCCCAAAGCUGAAAUCUGGGCCUCCCCAACAGCCCUAACCACAGUGCUUGGUGCAUAAUGAGAACUCCAUACAGGUACUGGAUAGAGAGUGAUGGGCUCUGCCAUCUGGGGCUUGAAGUAUGACCCGGGGAGACAGAAACCAGGGAACCAAUUUCUAGUGGUGACCCCUGAAGACCGCCUCCCACCCUCCCUGCCACCAUUACAGGAAGCAGCUGUCUGUCUGUCAGUUCAUCCAGGGGAACUUACAUGGGGACUUCAGGGGUGUCAGCCACUGGGAUGCGAAGGUAGGUUAUGUCCUGCAAGUACAAAACACAUGUGGGCAGUGGGAGGCCCCUCCUGUGCCCCUUUACCCCAGCUGGGCCACCCAAGCCCCAGACCGGUUCUUGCCCUCUCUGGGCCACUGUUGUCCUCUCUGUUCAAAGAGGUAGAUGCCAUCUCUGAGUGCCUCCCAGUUCUGACUGAUUCCAGAACCUUCUGAGGAGAGGGUAGCCUAACUCCAUAGGUUAGGCUUGGGUACCUUGGGAACAAGGACUUGAAAAAAGGAUCU